rnacentral:rRNA from 1 species
GAUGAACGCUGGCGGCGUGCCUAAUACAUGCAAGUCGAGCGAAUGGAUUAAGAGCUUGCUCUUAUGAAGUUAGCGGCGGACGGGUGAGUAACACGUGAGUAACCUGCCCAUAAGACUGGGAUAACUCCGGGAAACCGGGGCUAAUACCGGAUAACAUUUUGAACCGCAUGGUUCGAAAUGGAAAGGCGGCUUCGGCUGUCACUUAUGGAUGGACCCGCGUCGCAUUAGCAAGUUGGUGAGGUAACGGCUCACCAAGGCAACGAUGCGUAGCCGACCUGAGAGGGUGAUCGGCCACACUGGGACUGAGACACGGCCCAGACUCCUACGGGAGGCAGCAGUAGGGAAUCUUCCGCAAUGGACGAAAGUCUGACGGAGCAACGCCGCGUGAGUGAUGAAGGCUUUCGGGUCGUAAAACUCUGUUGUUAGGGAAGAACAAGUGCUAGUUGAAUAAGCUGGCACCUUGACGGUACCUAACCAGAAAGCCACGGCUAACUUCGUGCCAGCAGCCGCAGUAA